rnacentral:rRNA from 1 species
UACAGAGGUCUCCAGCGUUGUUCCGAUUCAUUGGGCGUAAAGGGUGCGUAGGCGGCGCGGUAAGUCGGGUGUGAAAUCUCGGAGCUUAACUCCGAAACUGCAUUCGAUACUGCCGUGCUUGAGGACUGGAGAGGAGACUGGAAUUUACGGUGUAGCGGUGAAAUGCGUAGAUAUCGUAAGGAAGACCAGUGGCGAAGGCGGGUCUCUGGACAGUUCCUGACGCUGAGGCACGAAGGUCAGGGGAGCAAACGGG